rnacentral:rRNA from 1 species
GAUGAACGCUGGCGGCGUGCUUAACACAUGCAAGUCGAGGGGCAUCAGGAAGAAAGCUUGCUUUCUUUGCUGGCGACCGGCGCACGGGUGAGUAACACGUAUCCAACCUGCCCUUUACUCGGGGAUAGCCUUUCGAAAGAAAGAUUAGUACCCGAUGGGAUAAUUAUCCCGCAUGGUUUCAUUAUUAAAGGAUUCCGGUAAAGGAUGGGGAUGCGUUCCAUUAGGUUGUUGGUGGGGUAACGGCCCACCAAGCCUUCGAUGGAUAGGGGGUUCUGAGAGGAAGGUCCCCCCACAUUGGAACUGAGACACGGGUCCAAACUCCUACGGGAGGCAGCAGUGAGGAAUAUUGGUCAAUGGGCGCUAGCCUGAACCAGCCAAGUAGCGUG